rnacentral:rRNA from 1 species
AUUGAACGCUGGCGGCAGGCCUAACACAUGCAAGUCGAACGAGUGGCGGACGGGUGAGUAAUGUGUGGGAAACUGCUUGAUGGCGGGGGAUAACUACUGGAAACGGUAGCUAAUACCGCAUACCAUAAGAUGUUCCAUGAUGGGAUUAGCUUGUUGGUGGGGUAACGGCUUACCAAGGCGACGAUCCCUAGCUGGUCUGAGAGGAUGACCGGCCACACUGGAACUGAGACACGGUCCAGACUCCUACGGGAGGCAGCAGUGGGGAAUAUUGCACAAUGGGCGCAAGCCUGAUGCAGCCAUGCCGCGUGUAUGAAGAAGGCCUUCGGGUUGUAAAGUUCUUUCAUCGGGGAGGCGUUACCCGAAGAAGAAGCACCGGCUAACUCCGUGCCAGCAGCCGCGGUAAUUC